UUAGGGAGACCUGCUGCCACCAUGACCGACCCAAUUAUUUAGGUCAGAUGCCAGUCAUCCCAAGGUCGUGCGAGGAAACAACUGGGCAAGAUAGCUUUCAAACUCUUCAACGGUUCGGUUUAUGGGCUAUUAGCUCAGGUGGUUAGAGCGCACCCCUGAUAAGGGUGAGGUCCCUGGUUCGAGUCCAGGAUGGCCCACCUUAACAGAAAGAAGUCAAAAGUAUGGAAUUAACACCUCCUUACUAGAAGCUUUUUUUGAGGGGGGUAUAGCUCAGCUGGUAGAGCGCUGCCUUUGCAAGGCAGAUGUCAGCGGUUCGAGUCCGCUUACCUCCACUCGACCAGUAAAACCAAAAAGAAAAAUUAAAUCAUACCUUGUUUAUCUUCCAUAAUUGGUGAUAGACUAGAUAAAGUGAAAAAAAAGAAUCCUGCAACUGUUAGGUUCAGUCCUUGCAGCCUGCUGGAAUUCUUUCCAGCCAGAACCUUGAAAACUGCAUAGCAACAAGUCAUAGGUAGUCAGUAGAAAGUAGAAGUCAUUAAUUUGACUUUUACGGAAAUUACAGACUUUGAUUUAAGU
rnacentral:tRNA from 1 species